rnacentral:rRNA from 1 species
CGCUGGCGGCGUGCUUAACACAUGCAAGUCGAACGCGAAAGGGACUUCGGUCCUGAGUAAAGUGGCGCACGGGUGAGUAACGCGUAGAUAACCUGUCUUCAUGUCUGGAAUAAUACGCCGAAAGGGGUACUAAUACCGGAUAUUCUUGCUUUUCAUAAGUUAUGCAAGCAAAGGUGGCCUCUGCAUAUGCUACUGCAUGAAGAGGGGUCUGCGUACCAUUAGCUAGUAGGUGGGGUAAUGGCCUACCUAGGCGACGAUGGUUAGCGGGUCUGAGAGGAUGAUCCGCCACACUGGCACUGGAACACGGGCCAGACUCCUACGGGAGGCAGCAGUGAGGAAUAUUGCGCAAUGGGGGAAACCCUGACGCAGCGACGCCGCGUGAGUGAGGAAGGCCUUCGGGUCGUAAAGCUCUGUCAAGAGGAAAGAAGUGUACAAUGGCUAAUACCUGUUGUAUUUGACGGUACCUCUAAAGGAAGCACCGGCUAACUCCGUGCCAGCCGCGGC